rnacentral:rRNA from 1 species
AGCCAUCGAUCCGGAGAUUUCUGAAUGGGGAAACCUACUUGAGCAAACCUCAAGUAUCCGUACGUGAAUCCAUAGCGUGCGGAAGGGAACGUUGUGAACUGAAACAUCUCAGUAGCAAUAGGAGGAGAAAGAAACAUCGAUUUCCUGAGUAGCGGCGAGCGAAAGGGAAAGAGGCCAAACCGAAGUACCUGGUUCUUCGGGGUUGCGGACCGCAUAUGUCGAUGGAGGCUAUGGUAGUCGAACUGUUUUGGGAAAGCAGACCAGAGACGGUGAAAGUCCGGUAGACGAAACCAGAAGACCCGCCGCGGGAUCC